GGUUGUGGCUACUUCCGAUUUGACGAUCGACUCCGUUAGAAUUGAUUUAGUUAAUUUAAAAUAUUUAGAACAAAAAAUUAAAUUUUUUAAUAUAAUUUACCUAGUAAUUAAAUGAGCUGAAAAUCAAUAAUUUUUAAUAGUUGAUGUGUGCCGUUUGUAAGUUUAACGAUGUAAAAGCAUUCCAAUCAGAUGAAAUUCUGAUAAAAAAUUCUUUAUUCUAUUCAUUGCAAGAUUAAUAUAUCUAAUCGAAAAAUUUAAUGCUAUAUAGAUCAUAAUUUUUUGUGAGAUUUUUAUUUUUAACAUUCAAUUUUGAAUCCUUUCGAUCACUAGAUAAAUGAUAUCGAAAAACUACAAAAUUUAUUUUCAAAAUACCUCAAAUAUACUAGGUCAAGUUUAACGGAGUCGAUCAUCGAUUAGAAAAUUUUAUUAUCGGAAACGGCUUUGGAGCACGUUGGCUGGCCUCCUGCUCCUAAUU
rnacentral:lncRNA from 1 species